UCGAGUCUCCAACGCAAAUGCAUAUGGAGCUAGUCUCCGAAUUGCCCGUGGCCAUGUCACCCUGCCCUCGCUGCAUCCGCAUGGGCUGCGACAACCCUCCAGUGGUCAACAGUGACUGGGACAAUGAAUACUGUAGCAACGAAUGUGUGGUUAAACACUGCAGGGAUGUGUUCCUAGCUUGGCUGGCCUCCCGCAAUUCCAACAACGUCGUUUUUGUGAAAUAACACCCCAUAAUAAGAGUGCUGGGGAAAGAAACUACACAGUUUUGUGUUGCCAUGCACAUUUCUGUCCAAAAGGAUGACCAAACCCAGAAGAAGAAAAAUCUCACCAUUGCAACUCUGAGGGUGGGAAGCCGGUUCUGGACAUCUUCUCUGCUGAAGACCCAACAGCAAGAGAAAAA